rnacentral:rRNA from 1 species
AUCAUGGCUCAGAUUGAACGCUGGCGGAAUGCUUUACACAUGCAAGUCGAACGGCAGCACGGGGCAACCUGGUGGCGAGUGGCGAACGGGUGAGUAAUAUAUCGGAACGUGCCCAAUCGUGGGGGAUAACGUAGCGAAAGUUACGCUAAUACCGCAUACGAUCUACGGAUGAAAGCGGGGGAUCGCAAGACCUCGCGCGAAUGGAGCGGCCGAUAUCAGAUUAGGUAGUUGGUGGGGUAAAGGCUCACCAAGCCAACGAUCUGUAGCUGGUCUGAGAGGACGACCAGCCACACUGGAACUGAGACACGGUCCAGACUCCUACGGGAGGCAGCAGUGGGGAAUUUUGGACAAUGGGCGCAAGCCUGAUCCAGCCAUUCCGCGUGCAGGAUGAAGGCCUUCGGGUUGUAAACUGCUUUUGUACGGAACGAAACGGUCUGCCCUAAUACGGCGGGCUAAUGACGGUACCGUAAGAAUAAGCACCGGCUAACUACGUG